rnacentral:antisense_RNA from 1 species
GUAAUUAGCAAGAGCAAUGAGAGUUUUGACAAAGAAGCGUCCAGAUUCUUAAUUUCACUACUACUUACACUGCUUUUUCUUAUUAACUCCUAUGUUUGUAUCGGCCCAGAACAAUUUUUUCGUUCUGGGCUUUUUUUA